AUUCGACCUUCUCUUAACUCCGCAGAAUGCAGUUGAGAUGCAUAGAAAAAGUCUGGGACUACUUACACCUAUUUGCUAGCAUGUCUUUGAAGAAUGUUACUAGAGAGAAGCAGGUACAACCUUGUGAUUAUUAUGCUUUGAACUUGAUGCUGUGCUGAACACAUAAAAAGAGCCCUCAUGAUGAGAGAUUGGAAGGAGAAUGAAAGAAAGGAAGCAAGAUCAUCCAGAGAACCAUGAAGUAGUGACCUUCAGUGACCUUCAGUGAUGAGGUCUGGCAUUCAUCAGCAUUCACACAUCUGCAGAAGGGGUAUGAGGGAGAAAUGACUUCAUUAAUUAUUGUGUCACCAAGUUUUUCUUCUCUUGAUUCCUAAGAAGAAGAAACAGAGAUUACAUGUGUUUACUUAAGGGUAAGCACUAACUGAAUGCUUACUGAGUGGCUAGAUGAAUAUCUAAAAAAAAAAAUGGUUUCUGUAGGCGUUGGAUUCUGCUCAAUGCUUAUGCCCACCCAGAAUGCUCUAUAAAACCUUCACUGUUGUUCUCAGGAUCAGCCUUCCUGAAUUCAUCCUAUAAACUUUUAAUGAGUGACCUGUUUGUAAAACUCCCUUCCAGAUUGGCAAAUACAAGUUGAUAGAGAAC
rnacentral:lncRNA from 10 species